AUUGAACGCUGGCGGCAUGCCUUACACAUGCAAGUCGAACGGCAGCACGGGGCAACCUGGUGGCGAGUGGCGAACGGGUGAGUAAUGCAUCGGAACGUGCCAUUGAUGGGGGAUAACGUAGCGAAAGUUGCGCUAAUACCGCAUAUUCUGUGAGCAGGAAAGCAGGGGACCGCAAGGCCUUGCGCUCUUUGAGCGGCCGAUGUCAGAUUAGCUAGUUGGUGAGGUAACGGCUUUACCAAGGCGACGAUCUGUAGCGGGUCUGAGAGGAUGAUCCGCCACACUGGAACUGAGACACGGUCCAGACUCCUACGGAGGCAGCAGUGGGGAAUUUUGGAC
rnacentral:rRNA from 1 species